UACAGAGGUCUCAAGCGUUGUUCGGAAUCAUUGGGCGUAAAGCGCGUGUAGGUGGCUUCGUAAGUCCGGUGUGAAAGCCCAGGGCUCAACCCUGGAAGUGCAUCGGAUACUGCGAAGCUGGAGUACUGAAGAGGAGAGCGGAAUUCCCGGUGUAGAGGUGAAAUUCGUAGAUAUCGGGAGGAACACCAGUGGCGAAGGCGGCUCUCUGGGCAGAUACUGACACUGAGACGUGAAAGCGUGGGGAGCAAACAGG
rnacentral:rRNA from 1 species